rnacentral:piRNA from 1 species
ACUGGUGAAUGUGGCGAAAUUGAGAC